rnacentral:sRNA from 1 species
CCCUAGCCCCGAUGGGAGGGAAAAUCCUUUUGUGCCGGCCCCGAUAGCUAUCGGGAGGAACAAAAGAUUGGAAGGAACAGCGGGAAACAGC